GGUUCGAUGGCGUAGUUGGUUAUCGCAUCUGUCUAACACACAGAAGGUCCUCAGUUCGAACCUGGGUCGAAUCA
rnacentral:tRNA from 4 species